GCUCACGUGCCUUUCGCGAAAUAUCACCGCGCACAGUAACUCCUUGGGGAUUUCAAGUGACGAGGGUGCGCCUCUUUUUCUUUGUGUGUGUUCAUGCGCUCUGUUCUCGUUUCCAGGUGACUCACUCUAGCAACACGAGCAUGCCGCCCUCGUUGACCAGAGUCGCACCUCGUCCCUGGCGCUCUUUUCUUCAAUCUAUUCCUUCUGCCCUAGCACACAAGUCGAGCACCGCUCUAACACCCCCACCCCCGGCCUGCCACAGGUCCGUGACGUGGUGCGAAGCAGCCGAAGACACACGUGUGCUACAGCAAUGCGACGGCCUAGUCAUCCAAGCAUGGGCUCUGCCUUGACCGCAGCUCACCCACCCGCUUCGCAGGCCGCCCCAGAGCCUCACCGCUCAUGUCGGUCGCCACACGAUGCAUCCCCUCGGAGGUGGCACUCCGGCUCCCCUGACCAGUAGGUGGUGUAAGGGGCCAGGGGAUGGGGUGCACGCUCGAGUGGCGUUCGCGCUUUACCCAUCAUGUGGAUCCUGCGAGCCUCUUCCCUGCCGCAGGUCGCUUCGGCGACCACGCCGUCCACGACCUGACCCGCCGACAUCCGCAGCGAUGCAUCGCUCAGACUUUCCCUGCGCCGUAGGUACCUGACCUUGUCGCCCAUCAGACGUGGCUCGGCAUUCGGCAGAGGGAUAGGGUUAGGGGGAGGGGCUGCGUGGCUCCCUCCCCCCUCCAACACACACGCACAGAGAGACAGAGAGAGAAUGUGCAACACGCUGACGCCCUCGUGGGGUGUUUUCCCAUCCACCGCCAUCGCAACUAUUCUCUUAUGUACUAAGACAUGGACAUGGUCCAAAGGGAGGCGGAUGUGACGCAGCAUGCACAUGGAAUGAUGCGAUAUUAUUCGUAAGAGAAAAUAAUGACGCGAUGCAGGCCAUCAGCGUAUCCGCGCUUGCCAGAUAUUUGGUUGGCGCGCGUGUGCGUGUGCGCUUCUUCCCAGUACGGCAUCCAGCGGAUGCCAUGGGCACCGGUUCUAAAGAGGUCUAUGUGUGCGUCUUGCAUUUUCUGAAGGUGGGCUUUUUCUUCCCCGCCUCGCACUACUGGAGGUCAUGCCGCCACCGUUGCCCUCCCAAUCUUUCUUCCACGGCUCCCGUCGUGGCUCGCGUCGGGUUUGCCCUCUUCUCUCUCCACACGGAACGGUCGAAG
rnacentral:misc_RNA from 1 species